rnacentral:lncRNA from 1 species
CGGUUGGGUUCGUGUUGCUCAGUAUUUUGUUUUCUACGUUGUGUUUUUUUAUUUAUUGUUUGUCUGUUUGCCUGUUUGCCUUUUUUUCUUUGCCAUUGUGUUGUCAGAUUAUAUUCGACUUAUGAGUUUGAUUUUCCCUUUGGUAUCUUUCGCCCGACUUUUGUUGACGAGACGCGCAAAUGGCCUACACAACUGGUAUCUAUGAUAAGUCUUUUCUUAUUGUUAGAUUUAUUUGAAUGAAAAAUUUACUUGUAAAAGUACUUUACGCUAUCA